AAAUGACUAACUAUAACAAAAUCAAAGAGCUACGCCGUCUGUGGGGAUCGAACCCA
rnacentral:sRNA from 1 species